GGAAGUGGAAGUGGGGGAGAAGCCGCUGGGACCGCCAGUUGUCAGUCCGCGGAAUAAGGGACACCUCUCCUGUGGGCAAUGCUGUAAAGCUUUAUUUUGUAUUAUUAUUUUUUUAAUGUACCUAAAUUCUGAACUUGA
rnacentral:lncRNA from 1 species